CGGACGGGUGAGUAACGCGUGGGUAACCUGCCCUGUACAGGGGGAUAACAGUCAGAAAUGACUGCUAAUACCGCAUAAGACCACAGCACCGCAUGGUGCAGGGGUAAAAACUACCGGUGGUACAGGAUGGACCCGCGUCUGAUUAGCUGGUUGGUGAGGUAACGGCUCACCAAGGCGACGAUCAGUAGCCGGCUUGAGAGAGUGAACGGCCACAUUGGGACUGAGACACGGCCCAGACUCCUACGGGAGGCAGCAUG
rnacentral:rRNA from 1 species